AUAAACAGCUCACGUCGCAGAAAAUUACCAUCUCUCCUACGUUCAAACCACACUAAACAAGUUCCUUACACCUUUUCAUUGUUGCAGCCACAAUCAAAACAGUAUCUCUUCUUCGUUUUUAUUCUAUACCUAUUACCACUUCCUCAGGCUUCCGCAAUUCAAAUACGUCACAUCAUUAUUUUUUUUCAUACGCUUAACUAAUAUAAACAUAACCUAAGAGCGACAUGAACAUCGCUCAACCAUUUCACUUUGUUAUCUAUUUCAACCACCCUCUUUCCAUUUAUUUUCCACAUUACUCCUUUCCAAUUAUUGACUCGACAACGUAUGUUCUUCUUAACAUCUACAGAAACAGUUUACCUCCCUAGCAACACAGGAAGUAUAAUAAAAUAUAUCUUAACACUCCAAGUCCUUUCUUUACUGUUGCUAAUUUUGCUUUUCUUCUUUUUCAGCCAUGUUGUCUCGUCAGCGAAAUAAAAACCAGUUCCUACAACUUUCUUAAUCAAACCGUCCAUCUUGUAGCCACCUUCACUCAUCUUCCAGAAGAACGACAACUCCUGUCACGCAUGUUUGAGACAACAGUAAGUACGCUUCAAAGUUUAGCACUUUCUCCAUCACUUUAACAUUACCAGUGUCAUUGAGAGAGAGAAUUAAAAGUGUUGUACAACUUAU